rnacentral:lncRNA from 1 species
CGUAUGUACGGCUUGGGGGGAGAUCUUUCAUAUCUUUCAAGAUCCAUCCUACAAUAUGGGGCCAAAAAGCCAAAAUAAAUCAUUUUAGCCCUUAGAAGUUAUAAAAAAAACAGAUUAUCCCUUUCACGCUCAUGUCACGGCGAGGUACUGUAGAAGAAAAAACCGCAAAAUCCGAUCCGUUUCCCCCCUUUUCUUGCUAGGAUUGGAAAUCCUGUAUUUUACAUAUCCAUACGAUUG